GAUGAACGCUGGCGGCGUGCCUAAUACAUGCAAGUCGAGCGAACGGACGAGAAGCUUGCUUCUCUGAUGUUAGCGGCGGACGGGUGAGUAACACGUGGAUAACCUACCUAUAAGACUGGGAUAACUUCGGGAAACCGGAGCUAAUACCGGAUAAUAUUUUGAACCGCAUGGUUCAAAAGUGAAAGACGGUCUUGCUGUCACUUAUAGAUGGAUCCGCGCUGCAUUAGCUAGUUGGUAAGGUAACGGCUUACCAAGGCAACGAUGGAUAGCCGACCUGAGAGGGGGGCCGGCGACAUGGGGAAUGAGAGACGGGCCAGAAUGCUAGGGGAGGAAGUAGGGGGGAAUAUUGCAAAAUGGGCGGAAGCAUGAGGAAGCAACGCCGCGUGCGGGAGGACGGCAGUCGGGUGGUAAACAGCUGGCGAAGGUGAAGAAGCGUGAGGGAAGGGAAGGAGUAAAGAAGCACCGGCUAAAGACGUG
rnacentral:rRNA from 1 species